UCCAGUUUGACACUGGCAGUCCCUCUAGAGUGCCCAACUUAAUGAUGGCAACAAGAGGCGUGGGUUGCGCUCGUUACGGGACUUAACCCAACAUCUCACGACACGAGCUGACGACAGCCAUGCAGCACCUGUCUCUCCGUCCCCGAAGGGAAAGCCGACUUUCAUCGGUUGUCGAAGGAUGUCAAGACCAGGAUAAGGUUCUUCGCGUUGCGUCGAAUUAAACCACAUGCUCCACCGCUUGUGCGGGCCCCCGUCAAUUCCUUUGAGUUUCAGCCUUGCGGCCGUACUCCCCAGGCGGGGCACUUCAUGCGUUAGCGCCGGUACUCCAAGGGUCGCUCCCCGGAGCACCUAGUGCCCAUCGUUUACGGCGUGGACUAC
rnacentral:misc_RNA from 1 species